rnacentral:rRNA from 1 species
UACGGGGGGAGCAAGCGUUGGUUCGGAUUUACUGGGCGUAAAGGGCGCGUAGGCGGCCACCGCAAGUCGACUGUGAAAUCUCCGGGCUUAACCCGGAAAGGUCAGCCGAUACUGCGGGGCUAGAGUGCAGAAGGGCAACUGGAAUUCGUCGGUGUAGCGGUGGAAAUGCGUAGAUAUCGAGAGGAACACCUGCGGCGAAGGCGGGUUGCUGGGCUGACACUGACGCUGAAGCGCGAAAGCUAGGGGAGCGAACGGG